CUUAGUAAUGUGCUUCCAUGACAAUGGUGACCCCAACUUUUCAAGGUUUUCUCGCAAAGAUGUACGCAUGGAAAUGAUGCGAUCAGCCAUUACCUUAACUUCCUUCAGCCAUAACUUCUUCAAGUCUGGAUCUCCAAGGAUAGUUGAAACUAUAAGUGCACCAUGAACAGGUGGAUUGCUGUACAUGGGUCUUGCAAGUUGCUGCAACUGACUUUUUACUGCCACUGCUUGUUUCUCAUUUUCACAAAGCACACUGCAACAAACAUAUAACAGCAUUAACUUUGAAAACUAUGAAAAUCCCUGCCUCUGAAUCAGCCAACAUAUUUUUUUUUGGUGUUUUUAUAGGCCACAUUCUUUUUAUUGUUUGCCCCAACAAUAGUAACACUAAAUGACCUUCAAAUUUUGAUAUUGUUAGGUUUUCCUCCAUUCUCAGACUUAUUAUUUUGACAAAGUGACGAACAUAUAUAAAUUCAAAUGCCCCAGCUGGCAAAUACAACAUCUAUAAGUCCCUUAAAUCUGACAAAUCCUUUCUAUCUGAAAGUGAAAAAAUACUGUACAUAGACUUGCAAGUAUAUAAAUUUCUAUUUUUUUACAUCUCUCUUUGGGUUUUACAAUAACUCAGAAGAACUCAGAUUGUCAACAAUCCUCGAUUUAUGUCAUAACCGGCACAAAUAUCUUGUGUAAUUCUUGGAACAUCUCUCUUUGGGUUUUACAAUAACUCAGAAGAACUCAGAUUGUCAACAAUCCUCGAUUUAUGUCAUAACCGGCACAAAUAUCUUGUGUAAUUCUUGGAAUGGGCAAUUUCCUACACAAGUUACAUGGCAGCCAUCUGGCAAUGCAUUGCAAUAUAACUUGAUUAAUGCAUGCAGUCAAAUAUGCUCAACAAUCAAAACCCUAUUUUCAGGAGCUCAAGUCAAUGCUUAAGAGUAUGCUGGCUUUAAGAAUUUGUGAUUAUGAAAAAAUCUAAUAAUGUUUAAAUUCCUCUAUUAUUUAGAUUUACCAGUAGUGAUGGUCUUCUAUUAUAGGCAUGGCUUUUGCAAAUACUUGAUUCCUCUUAUUGAUUAACAACAAGCAAAUAACAGGAAGAAACCAUCUCUUCUGAAAGAAAAUUCCAUUUUGCCAUAGAAGUGUUUUGACAUGAAACCCUAAGAUUGGAUCAAUAGUUUGAGGUGGUGCCCUUUCUUAAAAGCACAAAAUGCUAACAAGAAUAAGCAUAAGUUUACCAUUUUAAUCUCAUAUGAUUGAGAAGAAAUGGAACAAAAGGCUUGGUUUCUUAUAAGUUUCAUAAGCAUGAAUAGCUCAGCAGAUUUCAGGGAAUCUAGGAACAAAAUAUUAAUAAUCAGCAAGCAAUCAUCAUAUCUUUUUCAAGUAAGACGCUGAAACUGUUCCAUAAAAAUCAAAUUAUGUACACUGUACAGUUGUCACAUUAGUCAUAAUAAAAGAUAAUAUCCGAAAUAGACAACGUGAGUGUCUGUUGCACAAGUAUCUUCAGAUAACAGAGACAAUACCUGAGGCAUCCUACUCUCUGGCCGUAGAGCCCCAUAUUUUUUGCAUAUGAUUGAGCAAUGCCAAUAUGAUGACCAUCCUCAAGAAAAAUCCUGAUAGACUUUGCAUCUCUCUCUGGAUCACCGCUGGCAAAGCCUUGAUAUGCCAUAUCAAAGAAGGCAAAAUGAUUUUUAACCUGAAACUUACAUUGUGAAUAGUGUGAAACAUAGUGAUGUGAGAAGGGUAUGGAUUAAUCUGUCCUUGCAUGUGUUUGUUGUCGGUUAAGGUUCAGUCAAAGAUAAGAAAACAAAAGCCUCAUUGCAUAUGUGGAAAAAAAAAAUUUCUGCAGGAUGAAAAUAUGGAAAGCAGUUACAAAAAGAAUAAGUUUACGGAAAGCAGAUGAAAUUCAGCAAAAACUAGUUUUUAUUUAUAUAAAAAAAAGGAUAGAGAGUCUAAUAAAUUCUUCUCUUUUUUUAUAGAUAGGUUUUGAUGAAACAAAUAGGUUAUGUUUAUAGGGACUAGGAACAUUUUCUUGUUUAAGAAAGAAAUGACUCCAAAGGAAGAAGAUUCCCACUGAAAACUAAACAGGAACAGACUCCUAAAUAACAAAAUUUUAACAGUUAACACAAAAUUCCAAGCAAUACUACUACUUUUUUCUCAAACUUGUUACCUGUCCUGAAUAACAAUAAUUUACUAGUUUUCCUAAAUGGGAAAGUUUACAACAAAAAUCUAAAUUGUCAAAAUUAUAAUUGUAAUGAAAGCAAUUUCAAAAUUUCUCUUUCCAUGUCCAUAUUACAUAGUAGUUCAAAAAAUACAACAAAAACAAAAGGCAUUAAAGUGUACCUUGAAUAGGUGAGAUAUCUCUCUCCAUUCUUCCUCUGACGGAUCAACCCCAGUAGGAUUAUGAGCACAAGCAUGAAGUAGAAUGAAUGAGCCAUUUGGAGCAUUCUUGAUGUCAUCCAUCAAUGCUGCAAAAUUUAAGCCUCUGGAUUCAGGAUGAUAGUAAUGAUAGGUUCUUUGAGGGACCUGAGCAUCUCUCCAGAUAUUGUGGUGAUUAGCCCAUGUUGGGACUGGUAUAUAGAUUUGGGAAUCUGGAGAAAAUCGCUUUUGAAAAUCUGCAAAAAGUCGACAUGCACCAGUCCCAGAGAGAGAUUGCACUGCUGCUAUCCGUUUAUCUUUAAUGAACUCAGAGUUCUCUCCAUAGGCCAAUUUCAAUGUUUCUUCUACCAUUUUCACACUCCCUCCCAUUGGAAGAUACUCCAUGUUUAAUUUUCCAGCAAUCCUCCGCUCCGCUUCUCUAACGCAUUCCAAAACAACAGGCUUUCCAUUAUCAUCCCGGUAAGCACCAACUCCAACAUUGACUUUGUCAGGACUGGGGUCGGCCAGAAAAGCCUCGGUUACGCCGAGAAUCGGAUCUUUGGGAGCGGGCUCAACGUUCCGCCACCAAGAACUCAUGGAUCUCGCUCCGAUCACAGACUUCCGGCUAAUUAACCGGCAAGCCAUUGCGGUUGUAAAUGCCAUUCGCUAUGUUACCGUUCUUCACUGGAUCGCACACGAAAACAGUAACUGUGUAUUGAAGAGAAGGAAACGAUUCUGAUCACUAAUAAGGGAAGGAGAGAAUCUGUAGAAUGGUUAGUUGGUUAUUAUGGAAAUGGAGGUGUG
rnacentral:misc_RNA from 1 species